CAUGAGGAGAGUGAGCCCCGUUCUGUUGGCGCUCACAUGGCAAGCGCUCACUGCACGUCUGUGCUGCUGCGAAGGACUCAAACCCGCCACCACGGCUCCGCGAGAAGCAUCACCACUGGAGGUUCGGUACGGGCCCUGCGGGCUCCCACAUGCACU
rnacentral:RNase_MRP_RNA from 1 species